rnacentral:rRNA from 1 species
AGUGAACGCUGGCGGUAGGCCUAACACAUGCAAGUCGAACGGCAGCACAGUAAGAGCUUGCUCUUACGGGUGGCGGGUGGCGGACGGGUGAGGAAUACAUCGGAAUCUACUUUUUCGUGGGGGAUAACGUAGGGAAACUUACGCUAAUACCUCAUACGACCUACGGGUGAAAGCAGUGGAUCUUCGCACCUUGCGCGAUUGAAUGAGCCGAUGUCGGAUUAGCUAGUUGGCGGGGUAAAGGCCCACCAAGGCGACGAUCCGUAGCUGGUCUGAGAGGAUGAUCAGCCACACUGGAACUGAGACACGGUCCAGACUCCUACGGGAGGCAGCAGUGGGGAAUAUUGGACAAUGGGCGCAAGCCUGAUCCAGCCAUACCGCGUGGGUGAAGAAGGCCUUCGGGUUGUAAAGCCCUUUUGUUGGGAAAGAAAAGCAGCAGGUUAAUACCCCGCUGUUCUGACGGUACCCAAAGAAUAAGCACCGGCUAACUUCGUG